AGUGGAUUUGUGCCUACCGUGGACCGGUGAGAUUGAAGUUGUUAUAUGAUUCAGUAAAUAUACAGUAUACUGUAUGUAUGUGAGCGGUAGUGUGACACUAACCUCCUUUUGGUGCGCUCUGUAACAUUCAGAGUCCCUGUGUGGGCUUCAUUUCAGCAGCGUAACUCCGAUGUGUGGUGGGUAGGCGGAGUCAAAAGCCGUGGCUUCAGUGGGUAACCCUCGUCUCCUCUGGAUAAACGGUUAGACCAUUUAUGUAUGGAUAACAGAUCUGUAUGUGCUGAUCUGCUCAUCGCUUUUCUUUCUUGGUUUGGCACCCAAGAAGCAUCAUACAUAUGCAUCAUAUCAUCAGGUUACAUUCUCACUAUGCCAUCUACAGUGUUGUGCAGGUGAAGAGUGAAGCUGCUGCACCUUCCUCCAGACCAUCAUGCUACAAAGUCAAGUCACC